UACCAGCACCCCGAGUGGUCGGGACGAUUAUUGGGCCUAAAGCAUCCGUAGCCGGUUUUACAAGUCCUCCGUUAAAUCCAACUGCUUAACAGAUGGGCCGCGGAGGAUACUAUAAGACUAGGAGGCAGGAGAGGCAAGCGGUACUCAGUGGGUAGGGGUAAAAUCCGUUGAUCCAUUGAAGACCACCAGUGGCGAAGGCGGCUUGCCAGAAUGCGCUCGACGGUGAGGGAUGAAAGCUGGGGGAGCAAACCGGAUUAGAUACCCGGGUAGUCCCAGCUGUAAACGAUGCAGACUCGGUGAUGGACUAGCUUAAUGCUAGUCCAGUGCCGCAGGGAAGCCGUUAAGUCUGCCGCCUGGGUAGUACGGUCGCAAGACUG
rnacentral:rRNA from 1 species